GAUGAACGCUAGCGGGAGGCCUAACACAUGCAAGCCGAGCGGUAUUUCUUCUUCGGGAGAGAGAGAGCGGCGUACGGGUGCGGAACACGUGCAACCUGCCUUUAUCUAGAGGAUAGCCUUUCGAAAGGAAGAUUAAUACUCUAUAAUAUAUUAAUUGGCAUCAAUUGAUAUUGAAAACUCCGGUGGAUAGAGAUGGGCACGCGCAAGAUUAGCGAGUUGGUGAGGUAACGGCUCACCAAGGCAAUGAUCUUUAGGGGGCCUGAGAGGGUGAUCCCCCACACUGGUACUGAGACACGGACCAGACUCCUACGGGAGGCAGCAGAGAGGAAUAUUGGUCAAUGGGUGCAAGCCUGAACCAGCCAUCCCGCGUGAAGGAUUAAGGUCCUAUGGAUUGUAAACUUCUUUUGUAUAGGGAUAAACCUACCCUCGUGAGGGUAGCUGAAGGUACUAUACGAAUAAGCACCGGCUAACUCCGUGCCAGCAGCCGCAGUAA
rnacentral:rRNA from 1 species